rnacentral:rRNA from 1 species
GAUGAACGCUGGCGGCGUGCCUAAUACAUGCAAGUCGAGCGAACAGACGAGGAGCUUGCUCCUCUGACGUUAGCGGCGGACGGGUGAGUAACACGUGGAUAACCUACCUAUAAGACUGGGAUAACUUCGGGAAACCGGAGCUAAUACCGGAUAAUAUAUUGAACCGCAUGGUUCAAUAGUGAAAGACGGUUUUGCUGUCACUUAUAGAUGGAUCCGCGCCGCAUUAGCUAGUUGGUAAGGUAACGGCUUCCAAGGCAACGAUGCGUAGCCGACCUGAGAGGGUGAUCGGCCACACUGGAACUGAGACACGGUCCAGACUCCUACGGGAGGCAGCAGUAGGGAAUCUUCCGCAAUGGGCGAAAGCCUGACGGAGCAACGCCGCGUGAGUAAUGAAGGUCUUCGGAUCGUAAAACUCUAUUAUUAGGGAAGAACAAAUGUGUAAGUAACUAUGCACGUCUUGACGGUACCUAAUCAGAAAGCCACGGCUAACUACGUG